rnacentral:rRNA from 1 species
UAGGGUUUGAUCGUGGCUCAGGGCGAACCCUGGCGGUGCGCUUCACCCAUGCAAGCCGAACGCUACAGGCCGGGCAACCGGUCUGUGGAGUGGCAAACGGCCGAGUAAUGCAUAGCUAACCUACCUUCCGCAAUGGGAUAACCUGGGGAAACUCGGGCUAAUACCAUAUAAUGCCAUGUCUGGUAUCAGACUUGGCCAAAGGGAUAGGGGGAGUAAUCCUCUUAUCCGGCGGGAGAUGGGGCUAUGUCCUAUCAGGUAGUUGGUGGGGUAAUGGCCUACCAAGCCUAUGACGGGUAGCUGGCCUGAGAGGGCGGUCAGCCGGACCGGCACUGCGACACGGGCCGGACUCCUACGGGAGGCAGCAGGGGGGAAUCUUGGGCAAUGGGUGAAAGCCUGACCCAGCGACACCGCGUGCGGGAAGAAGCCUCUCGGGGUGUAAACCGCUGUUGGGAGGGAUAAAGGGGUAAAAUCCCUGAUAGUACCUCCAGAGAAAGGGACGGCUAACUCCGUGCCAGCAGCCGCGGUAAUACGGAGGUCCCAAGGGUUGCCCGGAGUUACUGGGCGUAAAGGGUCCGUAGGCGGCCUGAUAAGUCCUCUAUGAAAUCUGCCUGCUCAACGGGCAGAGGUUGGAGGAAACUGUUGGGCUCGAGACUGGCAGGGGGAGGCGGAAUUCCCGGUGUAGCGGUGAAAUGUGUAGAUAUCGGGAGGAACGCCGAUGCCGAAGGGGGCCUCCUAGGCCAGUUCUGACGCUGAGGGACGAAAGCCGGGGGAGCAAACCGGAUUAGAGACCCGGGUAGUCCCGGCUGUCAACGAUGGGUGCUAGGUCUUGGGGUAAAUCCUCGUGGCCGAAGCUAACGCGUUAAGCACCCCGCCUGGGGAGUACGUUCGCAAGAAUGAAACUCAAACGAAUUGACGGGGACCCGAACAAGCCGCGGUGCAUUUGGUUUAAUUCGAUGCAGCGCGAAGAACCUUACCCGGGCUUGACAUGGCAACUCAAGCCUGGCUGAAAGGCCAUGGUGGAUGUAGGGAAACCUACAUCAGUUGCCACAGGUGCUGCAUGGCUGUCGUCAGCUCGUGCCGUGAGGCGUCGGGUUAAGUCCCAGAACGAGCGCAACCCCUGCUCGCUGUUGCCACUCCCCGAAAGGGGAAGCACUCUGCGAGGACUGCCGGCGAAGAGUCGGAGGAAGGAGGGGACGACGUCAAGCCCGCAUGGCCCUUAUGCCCGGGGCUACACAAGUGCAACAAUGGCCGGUACAAAGGGAAGCGAACCCGUGAGGGGGAGCAAAUCCCAAAAAGCCGGUCCCAGUUCGGAUUGGAGUCUGCAAUUCGACUCCAUGAAGUAGGAGUGGCUAGUAAUCGCAGAUCAGCUACGCUGCGGUGAAUACGUUCCCGGGUCCUGUACACACCGCCCGUCACGCCAUGGAAGUCAUCUGCACAGGAAAUCCCCAAAAGGGAUGAAUGUGUGGGUGAUGACUGGGGCGAAGUCGUAACAAGGUACCCCUACCGGAAGGUGGGGGUGGAUCACCUCCUUU